rnacentral:rRNA from 1 species
UACGUAGGCGGAAAAUUAAGUCAGUAGUGAAAUCCUGCAGCUUAACUGUAGAACUGUUAUUGAUACUGGUUUUCUUGAAUAUAGUUGAGGUAGGCGGAAUGUGUAAUGUAGCGGUGAAAUGCUUAGAUAUUACACAGAACACCGAUUGCGAAGGCAGCUUACUAAGCUAUGAUUGACGCUGAAGUACGAAAGCGUGGGGAGCGAACAGGAUUAGAUACCCUGGUAGUCC